AAGCAUGUGUCCAGGGCUGUGGCUGCUUGUAGCCACGGGAUCUCCAACUACACGCCAGAGUAACGGGGAGCCUGUGACAGCCCAGGUCACCACAGGGCCUGCAGCUGCUGCUCAGCUUUCCUAUGUAU